UAGACUGACUUAGACUUAGGAGAGG
rnacentral:piRNA from 1 species